AGGCCACAGUUAAAUGGGCCACAUCAAGUCAAAUGGCAGAAGUCCUUGCUGUUUCAGAGAAUAGUGCACCCCAGUAGGAAAAGCAGCUACAACUUUGUAUGUCAUUUCUCUCCAUCAACCCCUGUGGCCUUUCCUAACUACCCAAUUCCAACCGAGAGGAGCUGUCAUGGACCACAAGAUGUCACUCUGGGUUUCCCAGCAACCUUUAUAAAAGAAGUGAAUGGCCCUUGAAACAAGGGUUAACUGCUAGAUAACAAUCACUCCAUUUUUCCCAGGAUGCUUAUGCCAGGCUUGCCCUCACACCUCAUCUGCCCUCAUUCCCCAUCAGUAGCCAAUAGACUUAGGUCCUCAUGUUUAAAUAAAAUCGAAUGCAAAGUAAAAUGGAGCAGCAACAGGGCUCCGAGAUGACACUUAGGAGUUACGUGUGUGUGUGUGUGGCCUUGUAAAGAAACCCCCAGCAGGGCAGUCUCCAAGAACUGAAGAAUGGCCCACUCCAGAUGCGACUUUGCAAGGGUGGAAAUUUGGCACUAACAGGUAAAAGAGAAUCUCACGAAUCUUUGGGACCAUUUAAGAUUUUAUCUUGUGGUUAGUGAGCCAUUGGUAAUUUAGAGAAAAGAAACAUUUUUUUUUAAGGAUGGGAAUCUUACAUUUAAAAAAAGACAUUUAGAAGUUGGAAAGCUCACAGACUUUUGCCCCAAGAUAAAGAAUUUAAAGGUUACAUCAAUUUAGGUAUCAUUAUAGAAGUCAGUUUAUGACCUGAGCUACUUUUUAGAAAAUAAAAAUUGCCAACUUGUAUUUGAUGAUA